rnacentral:rRNA from 1 species
AGUGAACGCUGGCGGUAGGCCUAAUACAUGCAAGUCGAACGGCAGCACAGUAAGAGCUCUCUCCUACGGGUGGCGAGUGGCGGACGGGUGACGAAUACAUCGCAAUCUACUUUUUCGUGGGUGAUAACGUAGGGAAACUUACGCUACUACCGCAUACGACCUACGGGUGAAAGCAGGGGAUCUUCGGACCUUGCGCGAUUCAAUGAGCCGAUGCCGGAUUAGCUAGUUGGCAGGGUAAAGGCCCACCAAGGCAACGAUCCGUAGCUGGUCUGAGAGGAUGAUCAGCCACACUGGAACUGAGACACGGUCCAGACUCCUACGGGAGGCAGCAGUGGGGAAUAUUGGACAAUGGGCGCAAGCCUGAUCCAGCCAUACCGCGUGAGUGAAGAAGGCCUUCGGGUUGUAAAGCCCUUUUGUUGGGGAAGAAAAACAGCAUGUUAAUACCCCGCUGUUCUGACGGUACCCAAAGAGUAAGCACCGGCUAACUUCGUG